UAUCACUUUAAAUUUUUCACAACACUUAACCCGACUGGAUUCUUUACAGAUGUCUCUAUAGCAACGGCUCGCGUGACCCUAUAGACCCGUGCGGUCAGGCGAGGCGAAAUUAUGACCAAUUAGUGCCAUUGUGAGUUCAGAUAUCUAUGGCACACUUACAGGAAAUGACAUCAACGGGUGCAAACUAAAAAUAUGUCGCAGGAUGGACGGUCUGGGACGCCCGAACCUAUGGGUCAGUAUCGGAAGCUCCAAUUAAGCUGGUUUCUAUAGUUUUGUCAGGUGAAUGCUGGUGAAAUGAUCUGCAAUGGGAAUCAAGCAUCACUUUCAUCCAGAGCAAGACGACACACUUUUAUCCUCCUCAUACACCGUGGACUAAUGGUUUGUGUGAAUGAAGACACCCUGGACAUUAAACCAAAGAGGUUAAUGGGAUAAUAUCAAACCACAGGCUGUGAUCACGUAUUGCUGUUUGAUUGAGUUUAGCACUGAAUGGGGUAUGACAGUCAUAACGGGCGUCUUCAAAAAUGUCUUGACAUGACACUUCAUUCUCAAUGUUGGUUCUGGAGGAUGAAGACAGCGGUGUAAUUAAUUCUGUACAGUAUGCGCAACUGACCAACGAGAGGGCAUCUCUCCCGCUGAUCACCGAAGGGAAUCCUACUGAAUCCCUCCCAAAGCCUCCUGAUUCAGAGCCUUAAACUGGGCACCUUUCCACAUCAAAGCGCUCCUGAGCACCUGCUUCUCAAGGACUCACGUCUUCAGGAAAGAAUGGCCUCUACUUAGAAGCGAACACCGCUGGUCUAAUUUGCCUUGCAUGGCCCUCCCCAUUCCCCCAGUGUAUGUGCAGUCUGGGCCUGAUCUGACACAGCCGUGGCUAUCUGGCGAGAUCACAUGGAGAGGUGCGGGAACUUAAAGGCAAAGAGUUACUGUGCAUCCAACCAGGAGCCUCAAAAGGACUGUAUUAAAAUGCGCUCAAUAAGCCGGUAAGGCCUUUUAAAGUGCUGUGCAGCCUCUAGCCCCGGCAAACUCAAAGGGCAUCUGCAAACCCAUGGUAAUGGGGAAUAUGGCCCCUAUUAAUUUAAUGAAUCCAGGGUAUUAGUAUGCUUACGGAGUCUUCGCCUAUUUUAUCUCUGGUGGACUGCAGUCCAGUAAUCCACUAACUUUGGAGGGAAGACGACAAGUGGAUAAAUAGCUGUCUGUGCUCCUUAAAUGAAUUCUUAACUGCACUUUCACAUAAUAAACCUUUAAAAAUUAACAAACUAUAAAAAAUCCAAUGCACAGUAAAGAGGAUGAAAUCGUGAAAGAUCACCCUAACAUUUCACCAUAUAUAUAAAUGUUUAAAAAAAACUGAACCAUGAAUUUAGCCAAAAUAUGAUAGACGCAAAGCAUAUAUUAGCAUAAUUUCACACCCGCUUGGCUGUAAGCUGGGAACAUGUUGGUCAUAGAGAUGGAACUGUGAAUCUCAACUAUGUCUCUCGCAUCCACACUGCAACUGGGCUGUGUUAGCUCUGCCUCUGUGCAUCAGGCAUAACAGUGCCAAAUAGUGCAAGUAUGGUGCAAGGACCCCCCCUCCCUGGACUUUACGCACCUGAGACUCACAACCGGCUCAUCCUGACGUUGAUGUGUUUGUGAUAGACACCUGUAAAAGAUUAGGCAGAUAGUGAAGUGUGGCAGUCUUCUCAGACCUGAUGGAGUUAAUUAAAGGCACAGUAACAGAACCUCUCUAAGGAACACAUCAAAGGUCUCAGACAACAUCGGUCUGCAGGCUCAUAUCUGGGGUGCAUGGACCUGAUGUGACCAGGACCAGAUGCAUGCUGGGCCACAAGCCUGACCCCUGGUCCAUAGCAGGGUCGGAGCUGGCCAGCAGCUCAGUCGGGGCCAGGCUUACCUGUGCUUGCAUGUCUGCAUGCUGGAGAAAGGUGACACGCCUUCAUCUGUGUUUGUGCAGUGACUCCGACCUGGAGUGCAGAGAGACAGAGAGCAGAGGUGAGAGGUCAGCCGAGGAGGGCAAGCUUAAGAGAAUCACACAUGGGGCACAUUUGCCAAAUACUGUCUGAAGGUAACAUGCAUUUUCAACUGAUAUCGCUCUUCAGGAACACAUGAAAUGUUCACAUUGCCUUUGUACUUGCCCUCCUGACCUCAGUUAAAGAGAAGGAAAAACUGCUGCUUUGAUUGACUGCUUGUUGAUUUACUAUGACGGUUAAUUAUUCAGUUCAGUCAUUACCAACACAGAGAUAUAUUUCAAAAACAACUAUUGUUGACUUUAUAGAAGAUGCACUGACAGAUUUUAUUUUUUAACCACAGUAUUGCUGGAGA